ACAGGGUGCCUAGGGAGGUGGUAUGGUCACUGUCCUUGGAGAUGUUUAAGAACUGUGGAGGUGUGUCACUGAGGGUCAUGUCAUGGUGGGCAUGAGCUUUUAAGAUGUCCUGAUACAGGAACACCCUGAGCUUUUCGCAUCUACAUGGAAGAAGAGUCUGGAAAGACAAGAUUUCUGUUCUUAAAGGAUGGGAGGUGUGGAUGUGGUGACUGCUGCUACUUGGAAGAUCUCUUAUUGCAAUUAUGGUUUCCACCUGAACUCCUGUGCACUGAAGAGAGGGCACUGAAUUCUUGCUUGUUUCAAGAAAACCUCUUUGAGUAAUCCCCUGAGCUUGCCUACAGGGCUUGGAUUUCCUAAUGGAUGCUUUGAUGACAGGAGAUAAGAGCCAAAGUCUUUUCAGUUAUACAGCGAACGAAGAGCACUCGUGUUGUCCUACUGCCAAUAUUUGUAAUUUCUUCACAAAGAAAUCUGAUCCCGGAAACGUACAUUGUUUGAUUCAGCAUCCAGUUUUUGGAGAAACACCAGUUUUGGAGAAACAAAAUUGUGUGUGAUCCCUCAGAAACUUGGCACAGAAAUCUUUCCACAAACCAAGAACCAUAAUAAAGACAGGGAGAAAGAAUAUUCCAGAAUAAUCAAUAACUUCAUAAUUCAAUUACUCUUGUAAAACUCUUGGCUUGAAUCCUUGUUCUGCCUUAUUCAGGCCUAAAUGCAAAUGAUGAUUUUCUGUAUCACAACAUCAUGUUUGAAACCACUGCCUUGCUGUUUCUUCUAGGAGUGAAGAAAAUAUUUUAGUUAUUUAAAAAAAAAAAAAAAAAGUAUUUCCAAUAUCAACAAGUGAGUAUCAGACCUGUAACCACAACUGAGCUUGCAGAAGUGCUAGAAGACCCAGUGGAGAUUAGGAUUUCUAAAUAUCAGAACAAAUGUCUUCAAUCCUUUGAAGACCCUCGCUCCCAUUCAUAAUGAUAGCAGUGGCAUCCAGUAGCCACUCAGUCUGAGCAUUCAUAUCUUCCUUCUUCUAUGUACAGAAAGAAGAUAAAAAGUGAAAGUUAAUGUUCCUCAAUUUCACAAAUACUUUUGCAACUAUUCUUGUUCAGAUACUGAUGCUCAUUCCUACAAAAAAGUACCCUUGCUUCCCUCAGACCAACCAUGUGCUUACAAAACUGUCCCAAAUACUGUGGAUUCACAGUUCAACUCUCUUCUAGAUUUUUACCCAUACCACACAUAGUUUUGCUAUCACACUGUGGUCUGUAGAGUGAAGUGGAUGUCCAAAGCUCCUUUACUUCCUUACUAAAGGCAAGAAGUGUGUGUGCUGCACACCAGCUGUACUCCUUGCAGAAGCAAAUUAAGGAAAUGGUUGCUGAGACAAAAAAUGCCAAUGUUGCUUAGUUGGUUUCCCACAUCUAUAAGCCACCAGAAGGAGAAAGUAGGGUGGAAUCAAUACUGUAUGUCUAUAUGUAUAUCAAUAAUAUCAAUAAAUCCAUGCCAUCCUGUACUGAGAAGUUUUUAUGAACCUCCAACAUAUCGCAAAGACAAGGCAUGAGAGAUGAAUAAUAGAAUAGGCAGGUAUCCUUGUUUAUUUUCAUCAUCCCAGCUGAUGAGUUGGGGUAUACUAAGUCCUCAGCUUUUGACACCACUGAUGUCAGCUCUUGGGAACUGAGGUAGGCAAUGCUGAGGGCACUUGAACAAUCCCACCCUAUGAGUAAAAAAAAGCUAUAUUAGUCUGUUGACCUGUGUUUGAACCCACUUGCCUUUUAAAAAUAAACCCCUGUACAAAUC
ensembl:lncRNA